rnacentral:tRNA from 1 species
GCGCCGGUGGUGUAAGGCGAACAUCGCUGCCCGGAAAGCAGAAGAUGCGGGUUCGAGUCCCACCCGGCGCA